rnacentral:tRNA from 1 species
GGAUUGUGGCUCAGUGGUAGAGCACAUGCCUCGCACAUGUGAGGCACUGGGUUCUAUCCUUAGCACCA